UGUUGCUGUGCACAUAGGCUGCUGUGUGCUACAGGACCUGUUUCUGGGUUAAUGGAACUUAAUUGAGAAGUAAAUGGUAUUUAAACUAGAGUGACAAAAAUAUAAUCCAACUGAAACUGAGUCAGUCCACUGUUUCAUAAGGUCAGGCUUUAUCAAGAAAGAAGGAGAACUAGAAGCUUUCGAGGGGCAGGAAAAAAUAUUCUCCUCCUGUGGUUACCUCAAACUCUGUUUCAGUGGGUGAACACUACUGUGAACUUACCCACAUUUGAAAGUGGUAUGAAGAUCUGGUUAUCUGAGAGAAAAGAUCUGUCAAUGAAAAGGGAUUUGAUCAGAUUAUGUUGAUGUUCUAAAAUACAAUCAAAUCACAGGAAAAUACUGCCUUGAGUAAAAAAGUGCAAAGGAGAAGCUAGGAGCAGUUUGUGGUCAGGCUAAAAAGACCCACUGCAGAACUGUGUUGGUUGGCACCUGCCUGGUCAUCAGGAGAGUAAGGA
ensembl:lncRNA